ACCCGCUGAACUUAAGCAUAUCAAUAAGCGGAGGAAAAGAAACCAACAGGGAUUGCCUCAGUAACGGCGAGUGAAGCGGCAAUAGCUCAAAUUUGAAAUCUGGCUCUUUCAGAGUCCGAGUUGUAAUUUGCAGAGGGCGCUUUGGCGUCGGCAGCAGCCUAAGUUCCUUGGAACAGGUCAUCAUAGAGGGUGAGAAUCCCGUAUGUGGCUGCUUGUCUUCACCGUGUAAAGCCCCUUCGAUGAGUCGAGUUGUUUGGGAAUGCAGCUCUAAAUGGGAGGUGAAUUUCUUCUAAAGCUAAAUAUUGGCCAGAGACCGAUAGCGCACAAGUAGAGUGAUCGAAAGAUGAAAAGCACUUUGGAAAGAGAGUCAAAAAGCAUGUGAAAUUGUUGAAAGGGAAGCGCUUGCAGCCAGACGUGCCCGCAGUUGCUCAUCCGGGGUUCUCUCCGGUGCACUCUUCUGUGGGCAGGCCAGCAUCAGUUCGGGCGGUUGGAGAAAGACCUGUGUCAUGUAGCUGUUCUCGGGCAGUGUUAUAGGGCAGGUGGAAUGCAACCAGCUGGAACUGAGGUCCGCGCAUCUGCUAGGAUGCUGGCGUAAUGGCUGUAAGCGGCCCGUCUUGAAACACGG
rnacentral:rRNA from 1 species